rnacentral:lncRNA from 1 species
AUGGGGAAAACAAAGAGAGGAAGGCAAGAGGAACUCUAUAUGAAAAUACACAACAAAAGAAUAUUGCAAACAGAGUACUGGGCCCAGGCAGAGCCACUGACAUUUGCACAUGAAUCAUGGAGCUCACUAGCCAGCCAGCUUUUUCCAUCAAUGAGGGCUGAGGAGAAGCUGCGUAAGAGAUAUUUGUUUUGGAAAAAGAAGAAAGCUACUCUGGAAAUACUGAAAAAUGCAAUGCAUGUUUCAACAAAGAUCCACUUAAAGAUAGUUAAAGAACUCCAUAGAAGUCUUUUCUCUCUCUCUCUCUGUUUUGUUGUUUGGGAUUUUUUUUUGGUGGGUUUUGGUGGGAUUUUUUGGGUUGUUUUUAGAAAAAAAGUUGAUGGAAACAGUUGGAGACUAUAACUUGGAAAAGUGAGAAACUAAGAUGAAUAAAACUUCCUGUUUUGCUCUCCUUCCCA